AGACACGGCCCAGAACUCCUACGGGAGGCAGCAGUAGGGAAUUCUUCCGCAAUGGACGAAAGUCUGACGGAGCAACGCCGCGGUGAAGUGAUGAAGGUUUUCGGGAUCGUAAAACUCGGUGUUAAGGGAAGAACAAGUACAAGAGGUAACUGCUGGUAACCCUGGACGGUACUAAACCAGGAAAGCCCCGGGCAAAUACGUGCCCACCACGCCCCCGGGUAAAUACCGUUAGGUUGCCAAAGCCGUGGUUCCCGGGAAUUAAUGGGGCCGUAAAAGCGGCGGCGCCAAGCCGGUUCCCUUAAAGUUCUGAAUGUUGAAAGCCCCCCGGGUUCAACCCUUGGAGGGUCAAUUGGAAACUUGGGGGGACUUGGAGUGCCAGAAGAAGAAGAGUUGGAAUUCCCACCGUGUAGCCGGUGAAAUGCGUAGAGAUGUGGAGGAACACCAGUGGCGAAGGCGACUCUUUGGUCUGUAACUGACGCUGAGGCGCGAAAGCGUGGGGAGCAAACAGGAUUAGAUACCCUGGUAGUCCACGCCGUAAAC
rnacentral:rRNA from 1 species